UGCGAGUUAGCUUAGUGGUAGAGCGUUUCAGCAGGAGUUCGAUUCUCUUACUCGCAACCA
rnacentral:tRNA from 1 species